GGAGAGAUGGCUCAGUGGUUAAGAGCACUGACUGCUCUUCCAGAGGUCCUGAGUUCAAAUCCCAGCAGCCCCA
rnacentral:tRNA from 1 species